AACGAACGCUGGCGGCAUGCCUAACACAUGCAAGUCGAACGAGACCUUCGGGUCUAGUGGCGCACGGGUGCGUAACGCGUGGGAACCUGCCCUUAGGCUCGGAAUAACUCCCCGAAAGGGGUGCUAAUACCGGAUAAUGUCUUCGGACCAAAGAUUCAUCGCCCUUGGAUGGGCCCGCGUUGGAUUAGCCGGUUGGUAGGGUAAAAGCCUACCAAGGCGACGAUCCAUAGCUGGUCUGAGAGGAUGAUCAGCCACACUGGGACUGAGACACGGCCCAGACUCCUACGGGAGGCAGCAGUGGGGAAUAUUGGACAAUGGGCGAAAGCCUGAUCCAGCAAUGCCGCGUGAGUGAUGAAGGCCUUAGAGUUGUAAAGCUCUUUUACCCGGGAUGAUAAUGACAGUACCGGGAGAAUAAGCACCGGCUAACUCCGUG
rnacentral:rRNA from 1 species